rnacentral:tRNA from 1 species
GACUUCGUGGUCGAGAGGUAAGGACACUUGCCUCUCACUCUGGAGUCUCGGGUUUGAUCCCCGGUCGAAGAGCU